UUGGGGAAAGGAUGGGCAGUGAAAAGAAGAAAAGACGUUGGGGAUUACAGAGGAGGAACUUCGCUCAAACUGUUGGACCUGUCUGAUGCGUUGUUGAGGAAACUGAAGCCCACAGAAAUGAAGUGCCCAAGGUCACACAGGUCUUGAGUGUGAACUAGGAAUUGAACUACAUCUCCUUCCAUUCACGUCCAGAAUUUUUGCCACUAUACUAUGAAAAGGAAUCAGAAAGAUCUUGGACUAAAAGCCUUAAUGCUCAUCACAAGCCAUUCAGUCUCUUUGAGCUUUAGUCUCUGCAUCGCUAAGAUGUGAAUAAUAAUGAUGCCUCUCUGAGAACCACGGGUGGUAGGUAUCCUUUGCCCAGCCUCCAUCUGCCACAGAGGGAACUCUGUGCUCUCAGUCAACUCCUAUAGCUCAGGAGAGCAAAUCCCAGUCUGGAAGACCUGAGUUCAAGGUCCUCUUCUGACUUAUGACUGACUAGGUCACAACAGUGACCCAGGGCAAGACAAUGAACCUCUCGAUCUCCUGAAUAAUUCCUAAAGACCACAAGUUGCAAAACAAUUGCUGAUUUAUAUUAGUAGAGGGAAUUUUUUCACCUGGAAGUUCCUAGUACCAGGUCACUCCAGGGAUGGCAGUUAUGGCAUUUGGAGUUGGUACCCUCUAUCCUAGCCAAUCAAGUCACAAAUCCAAGCCAUAAACAGAUAGAUAGAUAGAGAGAUAGAGAGAGAGAGAGAGAGAGAGAGAGAGAGAGAGAGAGAGAGAGAGAUGGAUGGAUAGAUGAAUAAGUAAAUAAAUAGGAAAACCUACCCCAUAGGGUUGCUGAGAAACUCAAAUUAGAAAAUGUAUGUAAAGUGUUGUAUAAAUAUCACUUGACAUUGCUAACCUCUGAACCCUUAGACAGAGAAUAAUUGAAAAAUAAGAAAUCCUCACAUAUAUUUAAAAGUUCCCAGUCUGAAAGGGGUAAUCAGAAAGAAGUACUUCUGAGGAGGGACAGGGUCAAAAGAAAGAAUAGAAU